CCUACGGGAGGCAGCAGUGGGGAAUCUUGCGCAAUGGGCGAAAGCCUGACGCAGCAACGCCGCGUGCGGGAUGAAGGCCCUCGGGUUGUAAACCGCUUUCAGCAGGGACGAAGAUGACGGUACCUGCAGAAGAAGCCCCGGCCAACUACGUGCCAGCAGCCGCGGUAACACGUAGGGGGCGAGCGUUGUCCGGAUUUAUUGGGCGUAAAGAGCUCGUAGGCGGUUCCGUCAGUCGGGUGUGAAAACUCUGGGCUCAACCCAGAGACGCCACCCGAUACUGCGGUGACUAGAGUCCGGUAGGGGAGUGCGGAAUUCCUGGUGUAGCGGUGAAAUGCGCAGAUAUCAGGAGGAACACCAACGGCGAAGGCAGCACUCUGGGCCGGUACUGACGCUGAGGAGCGAAAGCGCGGGGAGCGAACAGGAUUAGAUACCCUGGUAGUCCACGCCGUAAACGUUGGGCACUAGGUGUGGGACCUUUCCAACGGGUUCCGUGCCGCAGCUACGCAUAAGUGCCCGCCGUCGGGAGGUACGGCCGCGAACGGACGUAAACUACAAAGGAAGUUAGACGGCGUGAGACGUCGCCGAACGGACGACGACGAGGGAGUAGG
rnacentral:rRNA from 1 species